rnacentral:rRNA from 1 species
AGUCUGGUGCCAGCAGCCGCGGUAAUACCAGCUCCACUAGCGUAUACUAAAGUUGCUGCUGUUAAAAAGCUCGUAGUUGGAUAUCUGUCUGCAAGGCGUGACCCUGGUGUGUUUACAGCAGCGUGUCAAGCGGCGUCUAGUUGGGUGGUUUAAUCGCCAUUCUUAACAAAGCGUCGUGCCUAGCAGACUUUCUUCAGGGGUUGUCGGUCUGUCGCGCGAGCGACGGGUCGACGCGUCCCCUGAUCUUUUACUUUGAGAAAAUUAAAGCGCUCAAAGCAGGCAAACGCCUGAAUGCAUUAGCAUGGAAUAAUAAAACAAGACCUUUGGCAUCCUCUCGUUAUUUCUUAUAAUGAGGGGGAGUUUUGUUGGUUUUGGGCCAGGGUAAUGAUUGAUAGGAACAAUUGGGGGUGCUAGUAUCGCCGGGCCAGAGGUAAAAUUCUUUGAUUCCGGUGAGACUAACUUUGGCGAAAGCAUUCACCAAGCGUGUUUUCUUUAAUCAAGAACUAAAGUUGGGGGAUCGAAGACGAUCAGAUACCGUCGUAGUCCCAACCAUAAACGAUGUCGACUAAGCGUUGUGCAAGUUUUAAAAACCUGUUCAGCACUUUACGAGAAAUCAAAGUCUUCGGACUCAGGGGGAAGUAUGCUCGCAAGGGUGAAACUUAAAGGAAUUGACGGAAGGGCACCACCAGAUGUGGAGCCUGCGGCUUAAUUUGACUCAACACGCGAAAACUUACCAGGUCCAGACAUAGUAAGGAUUGACAGAUUGAAGUUCUUUCUUGAUUCUAUGCAUGGUGGUGCAUGGCCGUUCUUAGUUGGUGGAGUGAUUUGUCUGGUUAAUUCCGAUAACGAACGAGACCUCAGCCAUCUAACUAGCUAAAGCUAACGCGUUGCCGUUUUUCCGUUUUGCGCCUAGCGCUUACAUACGUAAGUUUAGCUUCUUAGAGGGACAAUCUGCGCUCAGCAGAUGGAAGAUUGAGGCAAUAACAGGUCAGUGAUGCCCUUAGAUGCUCUGGGCUGCACGCGCGCUACAGUGAUGCAUUCAACGAGCUGACCUGGCUUGAAAAGGCCGGGUAAUCUUCAAAGUGCAUCCUAGUGGGAAUAGAUGAUUGCAAUUGUUCAUCUUGAACAUGGAAUAUCUAGUAAACGCAAGUCAUCAACUUGCAUUGAAUACGUCCCUGCCCUUUGUACACACCGCCCGUCGCUCCUACCGAUUGAAUAAUCCGGUGAAUUGAGUGGAAAGGGGGCUGCUUCGGCGAGUCCCCUUGAAGCUCUGUGAACCUUAUUAUUUAGAGGAAGGAAAAGUCGUAACAAGGUUUCCGUAGGUUACCUGCGGGAG